rnacentral:misc_RNA from 1 species
UUUCCGUAGGUGUACCUGCGGAAGGAUCAUUAAUGUAUAACCGAGGUGCGAGGGCUGUCGCUGACCCGAAAGGUCGUGCACGCCCGAGUGCCCUCACACACAUCCAUCUCACCCCUAUGUGCACCACCGCGUGGGUCCCCCUUUGGCUUGUUCGGAGGGGGGCUUACGUUUUCACACAAACUUUGUAUGCAGUGUAGAAUGUAUUUUUUGUUUUUGCGAUCACGCAAUCAAUACAGCUUUCAACAACGGAUCUCUUGGCUCUCGCAUCGAUGAAAAACGCAGC